UAAUUCCAUAGCCACGCCUUGCUACGAAUUAAGUCAUCCCACUAGUCCGCACAUGCCUUUGCCCCGCUUUAGCCUUGGACCUUGCCUCGCCCUUAACUCCAUAGCCACGCCCUGCCAUGAGUUAAGCCGUCCCACUGAUCCGCGCAUACUUUGCCCGACCUUGCCUUGGACCUUGCCUCGCCCUUAGCUUUAUAGCCACGCCCUGCCAUAAGCUAAGUCGUCCCACUGAUCCGCGCGCAUGCCUUUGUCAAGUGCCAUGCGUCUAUUGCCNNNN
rnacentral:lncRNA from 1 species